GACGAACGCUGGCGGCAUGCCUAACACAUGCAAGUCGAACGAAGUGGCGAACGGGUGAGUAAUGCGUAAUAAACCUGCCCUUCAGAGGGGGAAAACAAUUGGAAACGACUGCUAAUACCGCAUACUGAAUCAGGGGUUUGCGUGUGAUUAGCUCGUUGGAGUGGUAACGACCCACCAAGUCGAUGUUCAGUAGACGGUCUGAGAGGAGGACAGGCCAAAUUGGGACUGAGAAACGGGCCAGACUCCUAAGGGAGGCAGCAGUGGGGAAUCUUCCGCAAUGGACGAAAGUCUGAAGGAGCAAAGGCGCGUGAGUGAUGACGGCCUUCGGGUUGUAAAGCUCUGUUAAUCGGGACGCGGUACCGGAAGAGAAAGCCACGGCUAACUACGUGCCAGCAGCCGCGGUAAUAC
rnacentral:rRNA from 1 species